UGCUUGGACUUUCUCUUUUGUUUUGUUUUUGCUGAGGAGGAGCCUCAUGUGUGCUGGACAAGCUAAUGCUGGGUUCUGUCUGCCCUCGUCUUACCCACUAGGCACCCAUUCCCUUCCUUCCUUUCCUUCCCUGCCUGCGGUUUGACUUUCACAGUUCCCGUGGGCACCAGGUAGACAGACCAGCCUGGGCCCUGUCUACCAUGGAGAAUGACACUGUGUUGUUCUGUUCUACCCAGACCUCGGCAGAGACAGCGCGUGUAUCCCAAGUGUACAUGGCUGACGACCCCUAAGAGCACCUGGCCCCGAUACAGCAAACCAGGUCUGUCAAUGCGGCUGCUGGAGUCCAAGAAAGGCCUUUCUUUCUUUGCAUUUGAGCACAGUGAAGAAUACCAACAAGCACAGCACAAGUUCCUGGUGGCUGUGGAGUCCAUGGAGCCAAACAACAUCGUGGCUCUGCUCCAGACAAGCCCCUAUCAUGUCGACUCACUUCUUCAGCUCAGUGAUGCCUGCCGCUUUCAGGAGGAUCAGGAGAUG
rnacentral:lncRNA from 1 species